UCUUUUCUCUCUCUCUCUCUCUCUCUCUCUCUCUCUCUCUCUCUCUCUCUCUCUCUCUCUCUCUCUCAAGUGCUUUGUUUAAAUAUGAGUUGCUUUGAGCAAAACCAGUUUGAAGCAUGUCCUUUCAGCAGCUACGGCGAUACGACCAUACGCAGCAGCACCACCACUGAUUGUCAUUCCUAUGAAAGAUAUUCACGCUUAUCCUCAAAAUUCUCCUCUUCCUCCUCCUUCUCCUCCUCCUGUGGAGAUUAAGACUAGGGGUGAAGAGUUUUGGAAAGGAUGUUGGACUGACCUGUGCUGCUGCCACUGUUGCUUGGAUUUUUGGUUCUGAGCACUGGAAGAACCGUUGUGCUUAUGUUUUAUUCUGUUCUACUUUAUAAGUACUUUUGGUUUUGGAUUGUUAUUGGGAAAACAGAGGAUGCUGUAAUUGUAUACUCAUCGCAACAUUCUUAUUAUGAUAUGGUUACGUAGUACUUGUUCGUACUACAUACAAUUAAAUCCAUUUGAGAUAUUGCAGCGAUAUUAUGUUA